UUUGCUUCCACAUAUCUUAUUAAAAUAUACUAUAUUUAAAUAUGCUACUUUGUGUGAUAAUUUCUGUAUAAGCUGCAAUGAAAUUAUAUAAGAGCGAUUAGCGCUGCUGCGUGGCAGAACCUGGCAGCGACAAUUGGCAAUCUUCCCAUUUCCUUAACAACCGUCGUGGUGUGCAUACGUGUUAGAGCCAGUGAUAGAGCGAAUGCCGAACGUGUGUAGCAAAUUGCAAGCGAGACAGUUGCAUGCGAGCAAGUAACGAAGCAAGAUAAAUCUUUGUAUACGGAUUUACUUUACUGUAUUUUUUAUUAUUUCUUUUUGUUCUACUUUUGCAAUCUGUUUUUUUUUGUUUUCGAGGAAUGCGAGUGCCUCUUGUCUACAGAAUUAAAAUCAAUUCAAACUGUAUAAAACGUUGACACACGUGUGCUUCAGUAUUUUCUAGCACGAACGCUAUGGCUGCCACGCUUGAUAAUGCAAAUGAGAGUAAAGAUCGUUCGGGUACGUUUAUUUUUAUUUAUUUAUACAUGAAUUUGUUAAUAAAAUUUGUUAAGUAAAUAAUAUCGUAUGUAAAUGUCAAAUUGAUUAACUUUGCCAAAAGAAAAAAUAAAUAAAGAAAGGUCAACAAUAAGCAAUUUAUUAAAUCCAAAACAAAAUUGUUAAUACAGGAUUAUCAAAUGAUUACUAAGUCAGC